CGCAGCCCACGCCACAGUCCACAUGCGCAAAUGCGGACACCAUCUCCCUGCCCCUUUCACACAGAGCUUGGCUCCCGCGUCCGAGUCUCAAAGAAGCGCAUCUAAUGAGCAGAACCUCGUUCACGUCAAAACCUGAACUGCAAGGGAGUCUGGAAAAUAAAGAUUUCCAUUUUCCAGCCUCUGCACACUAGGAGUUGGCAUGCGCACCCACCGUAUCUGCCACAGUGACGGUUCCUAAUUCCUAAGAGAAGCCUUCCAACCUGUGGGUUAAAGAAACGGACCUCUAAGGACAGGCAGCUCUAAGAACCUCUGACGCUGCAGGGAACAGAAGGAAGCAAAGUGCCCAUCCGGGAUGGCAAACCUCUCUCUCUGUCUAUGAGCAUGUGUGUCAGUCCAGAUUCACUCCAUCUGUCCCCUGGGGCGACCGCGGUCACAGGGCAUUACAAAACUCGCAAACGGACAGGUGAAGUUGUAACACGGAGAUGUGAUGUGCUCAGCUGUCCCCAGACCCAUAGCAGACUUUCACAUUCUAAGCCUCUUUCCAUGGAAACAACAAGAAGUAUUCCAGAGGGAGGGCCCUGGGGGAGGGGAGGUGUCAAUUUCGUCUUUACAGUGCGUACGUAGAUUCGAAAAAAAUUGUAAAGCAAUGUGCGAUUCCCCAGGAGAAGACCCCAGACUCCACUCAGAAAGGUGCCCAAUGCCAGAGAAUCACCUGGGUCACACGUCAUUUGGCGUGCGUGUGUGUGUGCGUGUGCACGUGUGUGUGCGUGUGCACGUGUGCGUGCGUGCCGGGGCCGGGAGAGGAGGGGAGAAUACACACUCUCCUCACUUUAGCCCCACUGCUGACAGCACUUAGUAGGGCUACAGUACAGGGAUAAUGAAAAUGGUCCCCAGGCUGGCCUGCCACUGGGGCCGGCCUGCAGCCGACCAGCUCCCCGAGGGCAAAGCUGCAACUAUGGCAACACCUAUCAAGAGAACAGUCUGGAAAACUCCACUCAUUCCUCUGCAUGGCGGGAGAACAGGCCCUGCCCCUCACCCCGCCCUGCCUGGAAGGAAAAACUGAGCAGCGCGGGGCUCGCCCUCAGCCCUCAGCCCUCAGCCCUCAGCCCACAGAAGCACCUCGCUUUCUCUCUUGGACCCGGGUCCCUCGGGUCCCUCGCCCAAGCCUCUGAAGUCUGGAUCUAAUUACCUGCGAUUUAACACUUUCCUACCCAGCUCGCCUCAGUGGGAGAGGAGAGGCAAGUACACACACCUCUCUCUCAACCUGACCAAUUUGAAAGUCACCGUUCAAGUCCCUUCUCCAGGUCUUAACCCCAGAGGGACAGUGUGAAUAGGAAUUCAUUCACUUAGGAAAUACUGACAAAGGGCUUCUCUGGGAAUGACAUCUAGCAGAGUCCUGUGGCUGAUGUAACAAAAUGGGGAGCCUGAACAAAAGCACUACCAUGCCGCCACAGCCGAUUUGAUGACCGGGAUGCUUCCGAGUGACCAAACGGUGGGGCCUACGGCAUGAACACGCUGGGCCCAGCACGAUUCACGUCACGUGGGACCGAUCCGAACAGCAUGCUGUUAGCUGAAAACGUAGCUUUGCAGGACAGUUUGAGGGCGGGGAGUGUGAUACCUCCAGCUUGUUCUUUUUUCUCAGUAUUGAUACAGCGUCCCUUAGAAGAGCUAAAACCUGAACACAGCCUCAGUGCCCAGCAACACGGUUACGCUUAAAUCAGAUGUACACGGGAUACUACAUAACGCGUGAAAACCAUGAUUUUGAAGAAUAUUAGAUAAGAUGGGGGAAUGUAAAGCAGAUUGCAAAAUUGUCCUUACACAUCCCAGGUUCUUCUGUCCUAAUGCUUUACAAGUAUUAAGUCCUUGGCUCCUCUCAACGACCCAGGAGGUAAAUACCGUCACUGGCCCUGCUUUCAAGGCGAUCUGACCAAGGUACGGAGCUGACAAGUGGCGGAGGCAGAAUUUCGAACCUGGACCAUCCAAGGGUUUAACGAAGCGCCUGCUGCCUCACUGGACGUGGCCGUGAGGACACAGAGGAACAGCAGUUCACAGAGCGCCUGGGAGGCCGCGCGAAGUCCGGCAGGCUACGCUCCACAGGUGGGCGGGACAGGAAAGGCAGGAGGUGAUAAGCGGUGUGUGGAGUGUGGUGGCGAGGGCACCGGAUUCAAAACUACACAUCUAAGGUUUGGGUCGUUUCUGCUUUGGGGGAUUCAGAGCCGGCCCUCCCGUCCACCAGGCGUUCAUGGACGGUAAAAACGUUCCGGUGAGGCCUUACCUACUCUCCUCCAGCACUCACGAUCCCAUCGCAUCUGGCUUAGGAAAGAGAAAGCAGGGCGGGGAUCUGUAUUUCUGAGAAGCGCUGAGCACAGAGGGAGGAAAACACCGACCUCUGCCAAGUCAUAACAAAACCAAGGAGGGAGAAAAGCAGACGACAGGAACAGCGUCUGGGUGAGACAGGUGCCCCAUGGACACUGAUUCCUCUCGGUUCCUCCCAAGAUUGCCACUUAUCCACAAAUGGCACGUUCCCCUGACCACGGCUAUCCUGUAUUUUUAAAGUGCAUGAAUGUGGGCAAAGUCCGGGAGGGGUUCUGUAAAAGUAAAAAUGGUCGCGUUAUUAAAGUCCCCCUUAACAUUGUCGUAUCACCCCUUCAGUAAGAUCGCCCAAAGGGGGAAAAUAAUUUCAAGUAGCUGUCUAGACACAGAGCUUGUUCUGCUCAAUGUAAAAGUCCCAUUUGUCACAUUGCCCAGAACAGCUCAUCCGUGAGCAGCCCCGCGUGGCAGGUCCCUCUGCCAAGGCUCAACCUGCCCCCUGCACCCGCUUCAGACACUUCCCGCAAGGCAGGCUCCGUGAGCAUUAACAGCAUGAGCCUCCUGCCUGUUUUUCCAGAAAGAGAAGGAGGAUGAUUCAGCUUUGGUCUCUGCAGGGAGGACUCUGCUUUGUCCGACCCCGUUGUGGGUGACUCAGCGAACAGAGCCGGGUGUCUUGGCCUUCUUACAAAUAUUACCAGUAUUGAAAUUUCCUUGCAAAGAUGGGAUUUGAAGUACUGCAGGAAGGAGCAAAUGACACGGAAAAAUGCAGUCACUGGCCUGCACAGAGUCCGCAGGCUGGUGGGACGGCAGCAAUGCCUGUCCGAGCGACAGCGCGAGACAGUGUGUCAGGCAAAGAGACAGCACGGCGGCGAGCGGCGGAUGCUGGUGUCAGCUCCGAGGGCUGCGGGUUUCCUGGAGGAAAGUUUCUGGCAGGACGGGGUGAGACGCGCAAGAGGCACACGCGGAAACGACGAAGGCAGGAAGGGGCCGAGCAGAGCGUGGGGAGGACAGAGAGGCCUGGCCGAGGUGGCCGGCGUGCUGUCAGGUCGGGGACGGCCGCGGGCUCCAUCUCAGCUGGUGGCAGGUGGGGGCAGGUAGGUUUGCGCAAGGUGUCUGAGCAGGGCAGUGACAUGUCCGCACAAUUAAUCAAGUGACACAGAAUGACAGACGGUGGAGAGACUAGAGAGUGGCCUCCAAGCUAAGCGUCUGCACUUACUGCGCAGCUGUGAAAACAGAAAGAUCUCGAUGCGCUGAUUCGGAAUCAUCUCCAAGACCCGAAGUUAGAGCGAAAAAUGAAGCACAGAAUAGUGUCUGUCUGUCUGUCUGUCUGUCUGUCUGUCUGUCUAUCAAACUACCAUUUGGAGGGAAAUGACAAUGGGAAAAAUACGUACAUAAUCACUUACAAAUACAAGAACCCGAUAAAACUGGAUGCUCCCCCGAAGGAAAGGGGUGGCUAGGGGAACAGGAAGUGGAAGGAAUAGGUAUGUGUCCUUCUGUCUCUUCGAAAUUUGAAUCCAUGUAAAGAUAUUUAAAAAUUAAUAAAACGUUGCUUUAAAAAUAA